GUAGGUGGCAAGCGUUGUCCGGAAUUAUUGGACGUAAAGCGCGCGCAGGCGGUCCUUUAAGUCUGAUGUGAAAGCCCACGGCUCAACCGUGGAGGGUCAUUGGAAACUGGGGGACUUGAGUACAGAAGAGGAAAGCGGAAUUCCAAGUGUAGCGGUGAAAUGCGUAGAGAUUUGGAGGAACACCAGUGGCGAAGGCGGCUUUCUGGUCUGUAACUGACGCUGAGGCGCGAAAGCGUGGGAGCAAACAGGAUUAGAUACCCUGGUAGUCCACGCCGUAAACGAUGAGUGCUAAGUGUUAGGGGGUUUCCCGCCCCCUUAGUGCUGCAGCUAACGCAUUAAGCACUCCGCCUGGGGAGUACGGCCGCAAGGCUG
rnacentral:rRNA from 1 species